GUUGAACGCUGGCGGCGUGCCUAAUACAUGCAAGUCGAGCGAACGGACGAGAACCUUUCUUCUCUGAUGUUAGCGGCGGACGUGUGAGUAACACGUGGAUAACCUACCUAUAAGACUGGGAUAACUUCGGGAAACCGGAGCUAAUACCGGAUACUAUUUUGAACCGCAUGGUUCAAAAGCUAACGACGGUCUUGCUGUCACUUAUAGAUGGAUCCGCGCGGCAUUAGCUAGUUGGUAAGGUAACGGCUUACCAAGGCAACGAUGCAUAGCCGACCUGAGAGGGUGAUCAGCCACACUGGAACUGAGACACGGUCCAGACUCCUACGGGAGGCAGCAGUAGGGAAUCUUGCGCAAUGGGCGAAAGCCUGACGGAGCAACGCCGCGUGAGGGAUGAAGGUCUUCGGAUCGUAAAACUCUGUUAUUAGGGAAGAACAGAUGUGUAAGUAACUAUGCACAUCUUGACGGUACCGAAUCAGAAAGCCACGGCUAACUACGUG
rnacentral:rRNA from 1 species